GAUGAACGCUGGCGGCGUGCCUAAUACAUGCAAGUCGAGCGAACAGACGAGGAGCUUGCUCCUCUGACGUUAGCGGCGGACGGGUGAGUAACACGUGGAUAACCUACCUAUAAGACUGGGAUCACUUCGGGAAACCGGAGCUAAUCCCGGAUAAUAUAUUGAACCGCAUGGUGCAAUAGUGAAAUACGGUUUUGCUGUCACUUAUAGAUGGAUCCGCGCCGCAUUAGCUAGUUGGUAAGGUCACGGCUUACCAAGGCAACGAUGCGUAGCCGACCUGAGAGGGUGAUCGGCCACCCUGGAACUGAGACACGGUCCAUACGCCUACGGGAGGCAGCAGUAGGCAAUCUUCCGCAAUGGGCGAAAGCCUGACGCAGCAACGCCGCGUGUGAGAUGAAGGUCUUCGGAUCGUAAAACUCUGUUAUUAGUGAAGAACAAAUGUGUAAGUAACUAUGCACGUCUUGACGGUACCUAAUCAGAAAGCCACGGCUAACUACGUG
rnacentral:rRNA from 1 species